GCGCCGGUAGUGUAAUUGGUUAUAACACGCAACCUCGGAUAGGGUGAGAUGUGGGUUUGAGUCCCCCCUGACGUU